CUGUCGACCAGUGAAGAGACAGGCAGACUACAUUCUGUACAUACUGUUUCAGGAAUAGCGCCAUUGGAGCCUGAAGGCAGCAGAGGAGAAUCUUCCCUGGAAUUCUUAGGCCCUGAGGUGACAGAGGGGGAGUACCUUGUUGCUGGUCACAUAGCUGAAAACAAGAAUCUCUCAGUUUGUGUUUACGAGAAGAUUGUCGGUUUCACUCCAGCUGAAGGUGAAAAGAAUGUCACCCUCCUCUCAGCCGAGCCGAGCCCAAAGAAUUUGCUGAAGAAAUAUGGCUGAGAAACCCAGUUAUGGAGAGUGGAGCUGAGGAGGCAUAAUUGGCCCUAUUAUGAUACAACUGUUGGUUGGUUCCAUUCCUACUCUUGGAAAAGUGGAUCGAGGAAGACAUCAUGGAAAGACUCUCUGAACUAUGAUGAUGCAAUUGGAGAAUUUCUGGAUCUAGC
rnacentral:lncRNA from 1 species